rnacentral:rRNA from 1 species
GGGGAAUUUUCCGCAAUGGGCGAAAGCCUGACGGAGCAAUACCGCGUGAGGGAGGAAGGUCUUAGGGUUGUAAACCUCUUUUCUCUGGGAAGAAGAACUGACGGUACCAGAGGAAUAAGCCUCGGCUAACUCCGUGCCAGCAGCCGCGGUAAUACGGAGGAGGCAAGCGUUAUCCGGAUUUAUUGGGCGUAAAGCGUCCGUAGGUGGUUAGUCAAGUCUAUUGUCAAAGCCUGGGGCUUAACCCUGGAGAGGCGGUGGAAACUGGUUAACUUGAGUGCGGUAGGGGCAGAGGGAAUUCCCAGUGUAGCGGUGAAAUGCGUAGAUAUUGGGAAGAACACCGGUGGCGAAAGCGCUCUGCUGGGCCUGCACUGACACUGAGGGACGAAAG